AGCAACAAAUGCCCUGCUUCCAGGAAAAGCCUCUAAGCAUCAGGUAACAUCAAAUCGUACCCCAAACCGACACAGGUGGUCAGGUAGAGAAUACCAAGGCGCUUGAGAGAACUCGGGUGAAGGAACUAGGCAAAAUGGUGCCGUAACUUCGGGAGAAGGCACGCUGACACGUAGGUGAAGUGAUUUACUCAUGGAGCUGAAGUCAGUCGAAGAUACCAGCUGGCUGCAACUGUUUAUUAAAAACACAGCACUGUGCAAACACGAAAGUGGACGUAUACGGUGUGACGCCUGCCCGGUGCCGGAAGGUUAAUUGAUGGGGUCAGCGCAAGCGAAGCUCCUGAUCGAAGCCCCGGUAAACGGCGGCCGUAACUAUAACGGUCCUAAGGUAGCGAAAUUCCUUGUCGGGUAAGUUCCGACCUGCACGAAUGGCGUAAUGAUGGCCAGGCUGUCUCCACCCGAGACUCAGUGAAAUUGAACUCGCUGUGAAGAUGCAGUGUACCCGCGGCAAGACGGAAAGACCCCGUGAACCUUUACUAUAGCUUGACACUGAACAUUGAGCCUUGAUGUGUAGGAUAGGUGGGAGGCUUUGAAGUGUGGACGCCAGUCUGCAUGGAGCCGACCUUGAAAUACCACCCUUUAAUGUUUGAUGUUCUAACGUGGACCCGUGAUCCGGGUUGCGGACAGUGUCUGGUGGGUAGUUUGACUGGGGCGGUCUCCUCCUAAAGAGUAACGGAGGAGCACGAAGGUUGGCUAAUCCUGGUCGGACAUCAGGAGGUUAGUGCAAUGGCAUAAGCCAGCUUGACUGCGAGCGUGACGGCGCGAGCAGGUGCGAAAGCAGGUCAUAGUGAUCCGGUGGUUCUGAAUGGAAGGGCCAUCGCUCAACGGAUAAAAGGUACUCCGGGGAUAACAGGCUGAUACCGCCCAAGAGUUCAUAUCGACGGCGGUGUUUGGCACCUCGAUGUCGGCUCAUCACAUCCUGGGGCUGAAGUAGGUCCCAAGGGUAUGGCUGUUCGCCAUUUAAAGUGGUACGCGAGCUGGGUUUAGAACGUCGUGAGACAGUUCGGUCCCUAUCUGCCGUGGGCGCUGGAGAACUGAGGGGGGCUGCUCCUAGUACGAGAGGACCGGAGUGGACGCAUCACUGGUGUUCGGGUUGUCAUGCCAAUGGCACUGCCCGGUAGCUAAAUGCGGAAGAGAUAAGUGCUGAAAGCAUCUAAGCACGAAACUUGCCCCGAGAUGAGUUCUCCCUGAGACUUUAGGUCUCCUGAAGGAACGUUGAAGACGACGACGUUGAUAGGCCGGGUGUGUAAGCGCAGCGAUGCGUUGAGCUAACCGGUACUAAUGAACCGUGAGGCUUAACCUUACAACGCCGAA
rnacentral:rRNA from 1 species